rnacentral:lncRNA from 1 species
AGCCUCUAGUGCCCAGCGAACCAUUUCCGGAGCUCCCCAAGUCACCAGGCAAAUCCAAGUCUGCCACACACAGGUUUAGGACCUGCUGGCAGGAUCCUGACGUCGCGGCUCGCGACAAGUGGCGCCCGAACAGGGACCUGAAAGAAUGAGGAUAUGCAAUCCCGGACCCAGGUCGAAGGUAGCGACGGUGCUCCGGAGGACUGACCGCUGCGCCUGAUCCACGCAGUAAGUCUACCGUUCACUUCAUGAACUCCGGACCCAGGUCGAAGGUAGCGACGGUGCUCCGGAGGAAGGUAAAAAGAAAGUAAAAAUAAAAUAAAAUAAAAAAUAAAAAAA